UUGAAAAUGAAAUCAUCUCCAGAAUAUUGCUAUUUUUAAAACAAGCCAUAGAAAGUUGCUUGCAAUUUCAGUUUAAUCCACCAGAAAACACAAAAGAAAUAAUACAACAAAUAUAUUGGUUAAACUCAAAUACACUAAUUGAUUAAAACUUUUUUUUAAAUAAUUUAAAAGGUAUGAUUUUUGACACACAUGCAGCUAACAAAAAUAUAUGGAAAUAUCUGCUCUACCCAAAAUUACAACCAGCAUUACCGCAAAAAUGGAAGAGGAAAGUGGAAGGGGGAAAAAGUAAGGAACUUGUCUGUCGGCCCUGCAUUAAAGACCAUAAUUGACCAUCAGGCUCCAUGUUGUAGUUCAGGUAGUGACAUCAGGCUCCAUGUUGUAGUUCAGGUAGUGACAUCAGGCUCCAUGUUGUAGUUCAGGUAGUGACAUCAGGCUCCAUGUUGUAGUUCAGGUAGUGACAUCAGGCUCCAUGUUGUAGUUCAGAUAGUGACAUCAGGCUCCAUGUUGUAGUUCAGGUAGUGACAUCAGGCUCCAUGUUGUAGUUCAGAUAGUGACAUCAGGCUCCAU
rnacentral:lncRNA from 1 species